GCUCAGGAUGAACGCUAGCGGCAGGCCUAACACAUGCAAGUCGAGGGGUAACAGGGUAGCAAUACUGCUGACGACCGGCGCACGGGUGAGUAACGCGUAUGCAACCUACCUUUAACUGGAAGAUAGCCCGGGGAAACUCGGAUUAAUACUCCAUAAAGUUCUGAAUUCGCAUGUUUUCAGAAUUAAAGUUCCGACGGUUAAAGAUGGGCAUGCGUGCCAUUAGCUAGUUGGUGAGGUAACGGCUCACCAAGGCUGCGAUGGCUAGGGGGCCUGAGAGGGUAGUCCCCCACACUGGUACUGAGACACGGACCAGACUCCUACGGGAGGCAGCAGUGAGGAAUAUUGGUCAAUGGACGAAAGUCUGAACCAGCCAUGCCGCGUGCAGGAUGAAGGCCCUAUGGGUUGUAAACUGCUUUUCUACGGGAAGAAACUUUCGAUCGUGAUCGGAACUGACGGUACUGUAGGAAUAAGCAUCGGCUAACUCCGUGCCAGCAGCCGCGGUAAUACGGAGGAUGCAAGCGUUAUCCGGAUUCAUUGGGUUUAAAGGGUGCGUAGGCGGAAUAAUAAGUCAGUGGUGAAAUCUUGCAGCUUAACUGUAAAAUUGCCUUUGAUACUGUUAUUCUUGAGUGCAGUUGAGGUAGGCGGAAUGUGUAAUGUAGCGGUGAAAUGCUUAGAUAUUACACAGAACACCGAUUGCGUAGGCAGCUUACUAAACUGUAACUGACGCUGAGGCACGAAAGCGUGGGGAGCAAACAGGAUUAGAUACCCUGGUAGUCCACGCCGUAAACGAUGAUCACUCGCUGUUAGCGAUAAACAGUUAGCGGCUAAGUAAAAGCAUUAAGUGAUCCACCUGGGGAGUACGUCGGCAACGAUGAAACUC
rnacentral:rRNA from 1 species